rnacentral:rRNA from 1 species
AACGUAGGACGCAAGCGUUAUCCGGAGUUACUGGGCGUAAAGCGCGGGCAGGCGGUCUUGCCAGUCUGAUGUGAAAUCUCCCCGCUCAACGGGGAGCAGCCAUUGGAAACUACAAGACUGGAGUCUGACAGAGGUAGGCGGAAUUCCGGGUGGAGUGGUGAAAUGUGUUGAUAUCGGAAGGAACGCCGGUGGCGAAAGCGGCACACUGGAUCUCAACUGACGCUGAGGCACGAAAGCCAGGGGAGCGAACGGG